rnacentral:lncRNA from 1 species
AUUUUUGCACGCCCAACGACAAGGAGCAGAGAGAGAGAGAGAGAAAUGCCCGGCGAUAGCACCGCAGGCGCGUGAUCCCUUUCUUUUCCUCAUCUCUCGAUCGAGACGCCUCGUGUGGGCGCGCCGAUUGCGCGGCACAGUUUUGGUUUGUCGUCGCGGCUCGGUCCGCCCCCUUUGCCGUCGCCUCGCCCUUGGACCCUCUUUGAUUAUUAUUAUUAUUAUUAUUGAUCAAUAAUAUCGAUUUAUUUUUCCUGCGCUUCUCUCCCCAAAGGCACAGGCAGAGACAAAACAAAGAAUCGGUUGGGCGUGCGACAAGGGAAAAACGGAGGGAAGAAGGCCAAGAAAAAAAGGGCACCGCAGGCCACAAAGGGGGACGAGAAAGAGCAACGAAAAGAAAUGAGCGACUACGCGGCCAGGUUGCAAAGAGAGGAAAGAGGGCGUCCGGGUCGGCCGGGUUUCAUCCUUUUUUGUGUGUGUUGUGUUUUUUGAGGGCCUUUUCUCCCUCUUGUUUUCCUUGCGCGCACAUAAAAGACUAG